rnacentral:rRNA from 1 species
GACGAACGCUGGCGGCGUGCUUAACACAUGCAAGUCGAACGGAAAGGCCCUGCUUUUGUUGGGUGCUCGAGUGGCGAACGGGUGAGUAACACGUGAGUAACCUGCCCUUGACUUUGGGAUAACUUCAGGAAACUGGGGCUAAUACCGGAUAUGAGCUCCUGCUGCAUGGUGGGGGUUGGAACGUUUCGGCGGUUGGGGAUGGACUCGCGGCUUAUCAGCUUGUUGGUGGGGUAGUGGCUUACCAAGGCUUUGACGGGUAGCCGGCCUGAGAGGGUGACCGGCGACAUUGGGACUGAGAGACGGCGCAGACUGCUACGGGAGGCAGCAGGGGGGAAUAUUGCACAAUGGGCGGAAGCCGGAUGCAGAAACGCCGCGUGCGGGAUGACGGCCUGCGGGUUGUGAACCGCGUUCGCCUGUGACGAAGCGUGAGUGACGGUAAUGGGUAAAGAAGCACCGGCUAACUACGUG